GGAGUGAAGACGAGGGUAACGAACCUACGUGGAGGUCCGGAACCCAACCUAAUAGUUGUAAAAUUAAGGGUAGUGAGCUUGUGGGGUAGGGGUGAAAGGCUAAAACAAAUCUGGAAAUAGCUGGUUCUCUCCGAAAACUAUUUAGGUAGUGCCUCAUGUAUCACCUUUGGGGGUAGAGCACUGUUAUGGCUAGGGGGUCAUUGAGACUUACCAAACCAUUGCAAACUCCGAAUACCAAAGAGUGCGAGCAUGGGAGACAGACAUCGGGGUGCUAACGUCCGGUGUCAAAAGGGAAACAACCCAGACCCUCAGCUAAGGUCCCCAAGACACAAUUAAGUGGGAAACGAAGUGGGAAGGCAUAGACAGUCAGGAGGUUGGCUUAGAAGCAGCCACCCUUUAAAGAAAGCGUAAUAGCUCACUGAUCGAGUCGUCCUGCGCGGAAGAUGUAACGGG
rnacentral:rRNA from 1 species